AUGUACACGGCUUUCCAGGUGGGCGAACAUACAUUCAAGGCGUGUUCUAUCAUGGGCAUGUCGGAUUCAGAACCUGAAGACCCAGACAAGGGAAGGAACUACUUUGUGAAGGCAUCGAUAAGCGAAGGCGAAUACUACUGCCAAUGCUGCAAAUUCGAACGGGACGGGAUUGUGUGCUGUCACAUUCUAAAAGUAAUGGACUUGAACGCGGUGACACGAAUGCCCCGCCAUUUCAUAAGGCGGCGAUGGACUUGGGACGCUGACGACGCAUUGGCGCCGCAAACAUCAAACGCAGUUUUGGCCGUGCAUGACGAGAGACCAGAGUCAACCAUGGAAGCCGUGAGGCACGUUGUGUUGACAAAGAACUAUGCUGAACUAAUUGAUGAAGCGUGCAAGAGGAUGAGACAGCAAGGGUCGCAGAAAAUCACAGGAAGGCCCUCAAAAGAGAGCUUGAUGAGAUCAAGAAGAGGAAAGCUGAGGAAGCCUUACACAGGUUCCCCCGCACAUCAAGUGUGCCUUCGUCCACACGGCCAUCAUCUGAAAACUCAGGGGUAG
rnacentral:rRNA from 1 species